rnacentral:rRNA from 1 species
UACGUAGGUGGCGAGCGUUGUCCGGAUUUACUGGGCGUAAAGGGCGCGUAGGCGGCCCUGCGUGUCUUCCGUGAAAUCCCUCGGCUCAACUGAGGACGUGCGGAAGAAACUGCAGGGCUCGAGUCCGGGAGAGGAGGGUGGAAUUCCCAGUGUAGCGGUGAAAUGCGUAGAUAUUGGGAGGAACACCGGUGGCGAAGGCGGCCCUCUGGACCGGUACUGACGCUGAUGCGCGAAAGCGUGGGGAGCAAACGGG